CCUACGGGUGGCAGCAGUGGGGAAUAUUGGGCAAUGGAGGCAACUCUGACCCAGCAAUGCCGCGUGAGUGAUGAAGGUAAUUUUAUUGUAAAGCUCUUUUCUUUGGAACGAAUAAAUGACGGUACCAAAGGAAUAAGCCCCGGCUAACUACGUGCCAGCAGCCGCGGUAAUACGGAGGAUGCGAGCGUUAUCCGGAUUUAUUGGGUUUAAAGGGUGCGUAGGCGGGCAUUUAAGCCGGCGGUCAAAUGUCGGGGCUCAACCCCGGCCUGCCGUCGGAACUGGGUGCCUUGAGUGGGCGAGAAGUAUGCGGAAUGUGUGGUGUAGCGGUGAAAUGCAUAGAUAUCACGCAGAACCCCGAUUGCGAAGGCAGCAUACCGGCGCCCUACUGACGCUGAGGCACGAAAGUGCGGGUAUCGAACAGGAUUAGAUACCCUUGUAGUC
rnacentral:rRNA from 1 species